rnacentral:tRNA from 1 species
UCCCUGAUAGCUCAAUUGGCAGAGCAUCUGACUGUUAAUCAGAGGGUUCCUGGUUCGAGUCCAGGUCGGGGAGCCA